GGAGAAAGGCAAAGCCAGAUGCUGAACUAUUUUUGCGAUGUGUUCCUAAUAUGUACUAUGAGUGUAUUGGGGACGCUUCGCAUUCAUGGUUCUGCAUCAGUCAUAUGGAGUGAAGAC
rnacentral:pre_miRNA from 14 species